GACGAACGCUGGCGGCGUGCCUAAUACAUGCAGGUUGAGCGCUGAAGGUUGGUACUUGUACCAACUGGAUGAGCAGCGAACGGGUGAGUAACGCGUGGGGAAUCUGCCUUUGAGCGGGGGACAACAUUUGGAAACGAAUGCUAAUACCGCAUAAAAACUUUAAACACAAGUUUUAAGUUUGAAAGAUGCAAUUGCAUCACUCAAAGAUGAUCCCGCGUUGUAUUAGCUAGUUGGUGAGGUAAAGGCUCACCAAGGCGAUGAUACAUAGCCGACCUGAGAGGGUGAUCGGCCACAUUGGGACUGAGACACGGCCCAAACUCCUACGGGAGGCAGCAGUAGGGAAUCUUCGGCAAUGGACGAAAGUCUGACCGAGCAACGCCGCGUGAGUGAAGAAGGUUUUCGGAUCGUAAAACUCUGUUGGUAGAGAAGAACGUUGGUGAGAGUGGAAAGCUCAUCAAGUGACGGUAACUACCCAGAAAGGGACGGCUAACUACGCG
rnacentral:rRNA from 1 species